rnacentral:lncRNA from 1 species
GAACCCAUCACCGUACCCAAAGCAACGAAGACAAGCGUGGACGGCCCGAGGUGGGUCCAGUCUGCUCAAACCCAGAUCUGAGAGUAGUGAACAAUGAUCGCCCAGAGCAAAAUCAGGUUUGGCCGCCAGAAGCAAAGGUGACUUCAGCAGCCACCCACUCUCCUCAGCCUCAUGCCCCACGGUGAACACUGAUGAACUGGCUUCUGUCAUCCCAGGGAAGAGACGGGCUUCAAGCAGGCUGCAAAACCAGGCCGGCGGGCUCCAACAACAACUCUUGUCCAAAGUUCCCUCGUUGCCAUCUGCUGACCAGCUGGACCCACUGACCUCAGACCAGAACCUUCCCCAAGCUUGAUCUGCAGCCUGCCACCUGGGGAACCCACUUCGUUGAAUAGUAGCUGGAAAUCUGGGCUCUUUUUCAGGCCUCUGCCAUGAGGC